AAUCUCGAUGACGGCUCACUGCAACCUCCACCUCCCAGGUUCAAGCAGUUCUCCUGCCUCAGCCUGCCAAAUAGCUGGGAUAACAGGCACACGCCACCAUGCCUGGCUAAUUUUUUUGUAUUUUUAGUAGAGACAGGGUUUCGCCAUGUUGGCCAAGGCGGGCAGAUCACUUGAGGUCAGAUUUGAGACCAGCAUGGCCAACAUAGCGAAACAGUCUCUACUAAAAAAAAAAAAAAUUAACUGGGCAUGGUGGCGCAUGCCUGUGGUCCCAGCUACUCUGGAAGCUGAGGCUUGGGAGGCUGAGGCACGAGAAUUGCUUGAACCCAGGAGGCGGAGGUUGCAGUGAGCCGAGAUUGCGCCACUGCACUCCAGCCUGGGCGACAGAAUGAGACUCCCACUCAAAAAUAUAAAUUUACUGUAAAAAUAUAUUUGCCCAGCGCGUGGAAUGAUCUGGGUUUCGUAACCCAUAAGGCUGACCAGGACUCAUUGUCCAUGGAGAGCACCCUCGCCUUCCACGGGGAGAUGGUGCUUAGCCUCCUUCCUGCACUUCCAGCCCCACUGCUCCACCCGGCAGGCUCAUGCUGACUGUGCUUUGCUGAGAAUCUGCUUAGGAGCUGCCUCAGUUUGCUGAGAAGUGAAAUGUUCUUGGGGGAACCCUCAAGGUUGUUGUCCCAGUUCCCUGACACUAGGGCCUGCGUUUAGCAUGGUGCUCAGCCCAACACACCAGACAGGCACUGUUCCCACCUCUGCCAACGAGGAAAGCCCCUGGGGGUUAACACUGCCGCUGGUGCCAGCACUGAUGGCAGCAUGGCAGUCAGGACCCAGGCCUGACAGCGUCCCCGGCAGCUACAGAAGUGCAUGCUCCCUCUCUGCACAGGUCACUUCCAGUACCUCUUGGUGUUGAAGUGAUUUAAGUCAGAACCCCUUUUAUUGCCCCAGGGGUGACCGCGAGGCCGUGGUCUCGGGGCUUUGUGUUUGCAGGAGUGUGGGGCUGGGGCUGCCUUUUCCGCGUCCCCUGGAGGAGACCUCAGGCAGCCUCUGUAGGUCUGAGGACCUGGCUGCAUGCCAGCUUCUCCCGGGAGGCUUUGGACUUGGGAGCCUUUGAACUUGCCCUUGAGAGGCGGAUCAGGAGGGGGCAGGUUUUACGCGUCGUGUGUUGAGUCCCUCACAUGCACCCUCCAAGGACCUGUCAGGGAUGGAGCAGCUUGCUGGAGACAAGGGGCAUGACCUCAGCGGUGGCGCUGAGGUGAGAAUGCAGGGGUUUUGUCAAGGUGUCUGCACACAGCAGCCCCUGCCGCGUGGGAGGGACAGGAUGGGACCCUGGAAGGAAGAGGAGCUGGGGCUGUGCCGGAAGCAGCCGGCUGCCCUCACCUACCGCACAUUGCAGGGUCCGAGAGCCAGGGACGCUGGUGUGCGACAACGCGUGGUUGUUGCCACCCACCCUGGGCCCUCUGCUGCCUCUGCCGAGCCCAGG
rnacentral:sRNA from 1 species